GGGGGCAUAGCUCAGCUGGGAGAGCACAGCGUUCGCAACGCUGGGGCCGAGGGUUCGAAUCCCUUUGCCUCCACCA
rnacentral:tRNA from 1 species